UACGAAGGGGGCUAGCGUUGUUCGGAAUUACUGGGCGUAAAGAGUGUGUAGGCGGUGCUCUAAGUUUGGUGUGAAAUCUCCCGGCUCAACCGGGAGGCUGCAUCGAAUACUGGAAUGCUAGAGGGUGGGAGAGGUAAGCGGAAUUCCUGGUGUAGCGGUGAAAUGCGUAGAUAUCAGGAGGAACACCUGUGGUGUAGACAGCUUACUGGACCACUUCUGACGCUGAGACACGAAAGCGUGGGUAGCAAACAGG
rnacentral:rRNA from 1 species